UACGGAGGGUGCAAGCGUUAUCCGGAUUUACUGGGCGUAAAGGGCGCGUAGGCGGCAAUUCAAGUCAUCUGUGAAAUCUCCGGGCUUAACUCGGAAUGGUCAGGUGAUACUGCUUUGCUAGAGUGCAGAAGGGGCAAUCGGAAUUCUUGGUGUAGCGGUGAAAUGCGUAGAUAUCAAGAGGAACACCUGAGGUGAAGACGGGUUGCUGGGCUGACACUGACGCUGAGGCGCGAAAGCCAGGGGAGCAAACGGG
rnacentral:rRNA from 1 species